UACGUAGGGGGCAAGCGUUGUCCGGAUUUAUUGGGCGUAAAGAGCGUGUAGGCGGUUUGGUAGGUCCGCUGUGAAAACUCGAGGCUCAACCUCGAGACGCCGGUGGAAACCAUCAGACUAGAGUCCGGAAGAGGAGAGUGGAAUUCCCGGUGUAGCGGUGAAAUGCGCAGAUAUCGGGAAGAACACCUAUGGCGAAGGCAGCUCUCUGGGACGGUACUGACGCUGAGGCGCGAAAGCUAGGGGAGCAAACAGG
rnacentral:rRNA from 1 species